AAGAAGAUAUUAACAAAAGUUGUUCGUCUUGAUGAGGGCUACAACUUUGCUUAAUAUCGUCUUACCAAAUUAUGCUUAUUUAAAGGAGAUAGGUCUGCGCAUGCGCAGUACGUAACUCCUUACGCUUGCUUAUUUUGGUAAGAAGAUAUUAACAAAAGUUGUUCGUCUUGACGAGGGCUACAACUUUGCUUAAUAUCGUCUUACCAAAUUAUGCUUAUUUAAAGGAGAUAGGUCUGCGCAUGCGCAGUACGUAACUCCUUACGCUUGCAUAUUUUGGUAAGAAGAUAUUAACAAAAGUUGUUCGUCUUGAUGAGGGCUACAACUUUGCUUAAUAUCGUCUUACCAAAUUAUGCUUAUAUAAAGGAGAUAGGUCUGCGCAUGCGCAGUACGUAACUCCUUACGCUUGCAUAUUUUGGUAAGAAGAUAUUAACAAAAGUUGUUCGUCUUGAUGAGGGCUACAACUUUGCGUAAUAUCGUCUUACCAAAUUAUGCUUAUUUAAAGGAGAUAAGUCUGCGCAUGCGCAGUACGUAACUCCUUACGCUUCUGCUACAAGAGCCUUGAAAGUCGAUAGAACAUCAGGUUGGAAACCGCAUAAUAUUAACUUUCACGUCUUUUUCGAUUAUGCACCUGGAAUAACCUGCUUUGUUUCUUCAUAAACUGACUUUUGAUACACGAGUAAGUCAUCGAUAGAAAGCUCAUGGACGGUAGAUUGUAAAAAUACAAUUUUCAGACCGUGACAAAUUCAUGUCUUCGCAACAGGGACCUUGAAAUUCAAUAGAACAUCACAUUCGAGACAGCCCUAACCAUAACCCUCACUUAUAAAAUUCGAACUUUAUCGUCUUUUUCGAUUGCACAGCUGGAAAAAAACUGCUUUUUUUUAUAGUAACCUUAUCCGUUAUCCGGGAUUCUCGAGUCAAGUAAAUUUCGGACAGAUGGAAAAAUUUUUUUGUCGUACUGGACAUAGAUCGACCUAGAAAGAUUCAAAACG
rnacentral:lncRNA from 1 species